CCUACGGGAGGCAGCAGUGGGGAAUAUUGGGCAAUGGAGGAAACUCUGACCCAGCAACGCCGCGUGAAUGAUGAAGGUUUUCGGAUUGUAAAGUUCUUUUCUAAGGGAAGAAGAAAGUGACGGUACCCUAGGAAUAAGCCUCGGCUAACUACGUGCCAGCAGCCGCGGUAAUACGUAGGAGGCGAGCGUUAUCCGGAAUUACUGGGCGUAAAGGGUGCGUAGGUGGUUUGGCAAGUUAGUAGCGAAACUCCAAGGCUUAACCUUGGAACUGCAUCUGAAACUGUUGGACUUGAGUGCUGGAGAGGCAACCGGAAUUCCUAGUGUAGCGGUGGAAUGCGUAGAUAUUAGGAGGAACACCAGUGGCGAAGGCGGGUUGCUGGACUGUAACUGACGCUGAGGCACGAAAGCGUGGGGAGCAAACAGGAUUAGAUACCCGGGUAGUC
rnacentral:rRNA from 1 species